AUCAAUGACUGAUAUUUUUACCUUAUUUUGUAUCUAAAUUAAGUUUUAUUUGGAUGCAUUUUUAGAUUACUUAACUGUGCUUGCUCUAUGAAAGCAAUAUUGUGUACCACUUUUUAUUCAGGUAGUCUACGUAAGAAUAAUAGGAUAUUCACUCAAUCAUACUUAUAAAAAACCAUUGGGAAAAACAGUUCAUAAACACCAUACUUUUAACAUGAAAUUCUAAUCAUACACAUUUGUGGUUUUUUGGGCAGGUAUAUUUUGGAACUUCACAUCCAAGAUACUAUAUCUCUGCCAAUGUAACUGGUUUCAAAUGUGUGACAGGAAUGUCUUGUUUAAUGAGAAAAGAUGUGUUAGAUCAAGCAGGAGGACUUAUAGCUUUUGCUCAGUACAUUGCCGAAGAUUACUUUAUGGCCAAAGCGAUAGCUGACCGAGGUUGGAAGUUUGCAAUGUCCACUCAAGUUGCAAUGC
rnacentral:sRNA from 1 species